GACAAGGUGUCUGAAAAAGAAGGGGGUUGUAAACCCCUUAAUACGAAUGAGAGCUUCGUCCUUCG
rnacentral:tRNA from 1 species